rnacentral:rRNA from 1 species
UACGUAGGGGGCAAGCGUUGUCCGGAUUUAUUGGGCGUAAAGAGCGUGUAGGCGGUUUGGUAGGUCCGCUGUGAAAACUCGAGGCUCAACCUCGAGACGCCGGUGGAAACCAUCAGACUAGAGUCCGGAAGAGGAGAGUGGAAUUCCGUGGUGUAGCGGUGAAAUGACGCAGAUAUCAGGAAGAACACCCGUGGCUAAGGCGGCUCUCUAGUACGGUACUGACGCUGAGACGCGAAAGCGUGGGGAGCGAACAGG